CUAAGCAUCUGGCACACAUUUUCGGGCACAGGUGGCAGUCAUCCACCUAAAGUGAUAUCCUGAGCUACUGCCUUUCAGCUGUGGCUAUGGGGUCUCUUUCUCCCUGAAAGUCAAAGCAUGAAGCAGAGCAUGGUGUGGGCAGAGGACUAUCCCCAGUGGGCUUUCAGAGAUAUUUGAAGUGAAAUUCAGAGGAGUUACGUAGCCAACAAGUGGCAGAGAGAAAUACUACAAGGAAACAACCUCAGAGUCUACUGAAUAGCGAAGAAGAUGGAGGAGAAGGAAGAGGAGAAGAAGAAGAGGAAGAAGAAGAAAGGUGUCUCCUGCCAUCAGCCUUGAAUUCACAGGUUUAUGAGAUAAUAUGCACACCUUGGAGGGAACCAUGUGUAGACCUUAGUAUGGAGAUGGGACUCAGCCAGGGACUCUCUGGAGCCAGGUGCUAGAAGAGGUUCUACAGUCAGAUGAUAUAAAUGAGUGAUCAACUGUGACCCUGAAUCUUUGUGCAUCACCACUGCACACAGUGCCAAGAUGAGGCUGGCUCCGCCCCAGUACAACUUUUACAUACAAGGAGAGAGAAACGUUUUCUUGCAGCUGCCAAAUCCCCAGAUAUUUGCACAGGGACACUGUGAGGAGGGUGAGUUGAGGAGAUGCUGGCCUUGGAGAGCUUAUUUUCCUUGCAACUCGUAAAAUGAGUUAUGCCAUCACAAAGUUGGCAUAAAAAGCUGUCAGACUGAAGUGUCAGAUUCUUCGGCAGUGAUAUUUUAUGCUGAGCUAAAUGAUGACACCAUACACAUAGCACAGAGAAAAGAUGGUGCUGUUUUGUUGUUAGAGCAAUAGCAGGUCCAAAUUUUCUGUCAUUAAGAAAGGUACUGUUGGAGACAGUUACAGUGAAAGUGCAUUUGAUGCAGAAGUUACUAAACUUGGCUCGUGUGCCAAAUUCGCAGUGAGCAUAAAUCAGUACAGCCCUGCUAACUUGAGUGGUGUUGACUUACAUCAGCUGAUAAAUGAAUCAGAAAUGUUUCCAUUUAAUUGGGAGAGACAAAAAAUAUCUCAGGGAUACUCUUUAAGCUAUGAGAAAUGGGAAUGUGCUUCCAAUGCUGAUAGUUUUUAACUAGUUUUUUUUGACAGAUAGGAUAGAUUUGUUUCUGAGUCCUUUUAAUACAUGACCCACAAAGGCAGAAGCUUGCAAGACCCGAUCUUAGACUGAAUAAGCCUAUGAACAGAGCUAUCAAGCACAGGGUGUAUUAAAACAAACAAAGAAUUGAAAACAUGCAGCUAGUUCAGAGGACAAAUUCAAAACAAUGAUGUUUUCAUUGCAGUAAAUGAAAGGGCUCACUUGGCAUCUGCCAUCAUGGAAACAUAAAAUGCCACAAAUGCCAAAAGGCUGAGCACAUGUAAUUGGGCAGAUAGCAGAGAAAGCAGCUUGGACAGUGCUUUAGCAGAAGCUGCUUAGAGAAGAGGUUUAAAAAGGAAAAUCAUGAGUACAAGCAAAUGGAGACAAUAAGUGAGAAUGAGGGGGGCUGCUGAAGGAGAUGAGUCAGAAGAGAGCAAGGAGUUGGUAGAAGAGACAAAAAAAGAGGCACUGAAGUUGCAGAAUUUCAAAGGAAAUUACGUCUGGAUUUGUUGUAGAAUUUAAAGGGCUGGUGCCUUUGCCCUGUGUGAAUGAGAUUGCUGGUGCCGAUUGUGCCGGCUGAGGAUCUGACCCAGUGCCUGGCAGCGUGUCCUCAGCAGUCUUUUAAUAGCCCUCCCCAAGUGCCUCUGUCAUAGUUUGAAUUACACUCAUGGCAAAGCAAAAUGGAUAACAACAAGAUGCUGGAUAAUGAGAUGCUAACGAGGACUACAGUGUUCACAGGUGCCUGGGAGGCUCAUUCUGGGAUGAAAAUUAAGUAGCCACUUCCUAAUUAAACUUUAUCUGUUUGCACAACCUAGGGCUUACUCUGUGUCUCAGAAUAUGGCCUCCAGUCUUAAAGGCCCAUGUAAGACAUAGAAACCCAGUGAAAAUGACCAGAAGCUAUAUACUAGUCCUAGGUUAGUACUAGGUGUGCCAUGAAAACUGUGCUUCACUUUUGUUUUAUGUAAAGAAUUAUUACCUGGUAACGCACUGGUGUUUACACUGACAGAAUUCAGUAACAUUUUAGUAGGUUAAUGAAAUGCAACCUGUUUUAUCUUGUCCCUGCCCUCUGAGAUCUCGUGGGGAAGACAAUGUUUUGUCAGAACUUUUGAAAAUGCCAUGACAACUAGCAGGGGAGAUAAACUACCUCCACGUCAGAAAAUAGCAUCUUUCUGGCAAUCAAAUGCAACUACAUAGCAUAGCAUACAAAGUAUACGUGAGCUGAACAACUAAUGAGGAGAUGUAUAUGUGUGAAAAAAAGGCAGCUGAGAGGCCUGAUUUGUAUAGAUCCACAGGAUAUUAAAUAAUAAUAAAAAUAAUAAAAUAAAAUAACCACAAAACUAAACACCCCCCCUACCUGCCAUUAGAAAUGUCCCUUGUACCUCCAGGGAACAAAAUGUAUUAUGAGAAUUUUGGAGACUUGUUAAAAGUUUGUGGCUAGGGAACAGGAAAAGAAAAUCAGAUACCACCCUAAAAAAAAUCCCUAAAACUUAAGGAGCUGUUUUUCCUGGAAACAUGCAUCACCCUGAAAGCUGCACUUUUCAUAAGUUCUUAGUAGUAUAAACAUUUUUCAGAGAAACUUUGUCUUCAGAAUUUCACUUUCUGAACUGUUUGUGCUGAACAUAAAAGCAAUUAUGUAGCUUCUGGAUGCAAACAUAGACAAUUUGCUCUAAUUUAUACUGCUUGAAAACUAGAUUUAAAGCAGUUUAAAUAGAAGUGAAGUCUGGUUUGCUGAGUCAAAGGAGUACCAACACUACCAAAAAAAAAGUGUUGAGAUCCCAUCUGUGUCUUCUCCCAAAGAGAAUAAUUACAAUUUCUCUGCAUAUGGAAUGAUAGCUAGCUUUGAAGGUGUAAAGAAAAAAAUGUGAUAAGCACAAAAUAUGGAGAACCAAGCAGUGUCAAAGCCAAACACCAGCAUUCAGGUACAAUCCUGGGUUCCUGCCACAGUCUUUUAAACUUUGGCUGUGCUGUUUAUGCCACAACAUCUGUAGAUUACAGAGAGGCCCCAAAAUUACUUAAUUGACCAAACAAAGAAGCAAUCUGUUUAAGCUGUAGCUUGUAAUGUUUGUAGAAAGUCAGAAGGUGCGAUAGGUAAAGGGUGAGCUAUGCAUCACAGCAAUCCCUGACUGCUGCCCUAAUAGCAUCUGAGAUCAACUGGAGUUUCUGGAGCCUCCUCUGGUGCCCAAGACCAGGGGCAAGGCUGGUCUAUUCCUUCCCAUACCUGGAACUACUGCAGCAGAGCUCAAAAUCUCUUAGCCAUGGAUGCUGGGGUUAAAAUAGCUUAUUCAGCAACAGUUUAUGUAUAUUGAACUUGCUGGCCUAUAUCAUUUUGUAUAUACUAGAAUAUUAUAUUUUAAAAAAUUCUAUAACAUCUCAAACCAAUUGUCUGUAUUUUAGUAUGGAAAAAAAGAGCUAGUGAAGAAACAUACCUAAAUUAUGGUCUGCAGCAAUGCUAGCCUCCACCAUUACCAUGUUUCAGCCUUCAUCUGAAUGGUGUUAAAUGCAUUACCCAUGCCACAUGGUUGAGCCAGCAAAAAAAUUACUGGAAAAAAGGCUUCUGGGCCGGUAGACAGAAUGGAAUUUAACACUGAGUUGAAGCAGACAAAGCAUUUCAUGUAGAUUCAGAAACAUAAAAACUCCUGAAGUUCCUUCUGAUUGCUUGAAAUAUAUUUUGUCCAUAAACUUAUAGUAGAUGACCAUGAAAUUUCAGGCAAGUAAUUGUUUUGUGUAAACUGUACUUUCUGUUGAAAAACUAUUCCCAAAUAAAAUUCCUGGCUAGAAUUUUUUCUCAAGACUGAAAGAGCCAGGCAUUAGAAAUGCA